rnacentral:rRNA from 1 species
UACAGAGGGUGCAAGCGUUGCUCGGAAUUAUUGGGCGUAAAGGGUAGGUAGGUGGUCUCAUUUGUCUGGGGUGAAAUCCUUGGGCUUAACUCAAGAAGUGCCCCAGAAACGGUGAGACUGGAGUCCUGGAGAGGGUCGUGGAAUUCCCGGUGUAGCGGUGAAAUGCGUAGAGAUGUGGAGGAAUACCGAUGGCGAAGGCAGCCCCCUGGGAUGACACUGACGCUCAUGCACGAAAGCGUGGGGAGCAAACAGG